AGUGAACGCUGGCGGCAGGCCUAAUACAUGCAAGUCGAACGGCAGCACAGUGGAGCUUGCUCCAUGGGUGGCGAGUGGCGGACGGGUGAGGAAUACAUGGGAAUCUGCCCAGUCGUGGGGGAUAACGUAGGGAAACUUACGCUAAUACCGCAUGCGCCCUUCGGGGGAAAGCCGGGGACCUUCGGGCCUGGCGCGGUUGGAUGAGCCCAUGUUCGAUUAGCUAGUUGGCGGGGUAAAGGCCCACCAAGGCGACGAUCGAUAGCUGGUCUGAGAGGAUGAUCAGCCACACUGGGACUGAGACACGGCCCAGACUCCUACGGGAGGUAGCAGUAGGGAAUAUUGGACAAUGGGCGCAAGCCUGAUCCAGCCAUGCCGCGUGAGUGAAGAAGGCCCUCGGGUUGUAAAGCUCUUUUGUCCGGGAAGAAAAGCAUCGGGCUAAUACCUCGGUGUUCUGACGGUACCGGAAGAAUAAGCACCGGCUAACUUCGUG
rnacentral:rRNA from 1 species